GGAUGUGAGGGCGAUCUGGCUGCGACAUCUGUCACCCCAUUGAUCGCCAGGGUUGAUUCGGCUGAUCUGGCUGGCUAGGCGGGUGUCCCCUUCCUCCCUCACCGCUCCAUGUGCGUCCCUCCCGAAGCUGCGCGCUCGGUCGAAGAGGACGACCUUCCCCGAAUAGAGGAGGACCGGUCUUCGGUCAAGGGUAUACGAGUAGCUGCGCUCCCCUGCUAAAAAGUAAAAAAGGGAUUUUUCUGGUGGAUUUGACUUAAUGUAUCAUCUUUAUUAAGUAGAAUAAAAGCAGGGCUGUCAAGAAGACUCAGAGAGUAAAGGCUCUU
rnacentral:snRNA from 1 species